UACAGAGGUCUCAAGCGUUGUUCGGAGUUACUGGGCGUAAAGCGUGCGUAGGCGGUGGUCCAAGUCUGGUGUGAAAUCUCCCGGCUUAACUGGGAGGGUGCGCCGGAAACUGGGCCGCUGGAGUACGGGAGAGGCAAGCGGAAUUCCAGGUGUAGCGGUGAAAUGCGUAGAUAUCUGGAGGAACACCCGUGGUGCAGACGGCUUGCUGGACCGUGACUGACGCUGAGGCACGAAAGCGUGGGUAGCAAACAGG
rnacentral:rRNA from 1 species